UGGUGGAUCAGUUAGAGCAGUAGUGUUUGGACUCAGUGUAAUCGUAGGGAGAACUACAAUGGUUGAAGAAUCUCAAAAGAGAAGUAGAAGGCAGGUUGGAAUAUUCUAGUUUAAGUCUUCGAAAUCAAGAAAGUUCAAGCAUGUACGUUUUUCCAGGAGUAGAGAUAAUGUUGAGGAAAUGGAAUGACAAAGUUAUCAUGGAAGAGAAAAGUCCUCAAGGUUUUUGCAAAACCAUAGAAGUUUGAAGAAGCUAUUCAAGGGUGAGCUUUUUGGUUAUAAUUGUCAUGAAGGAAGUGUUAUUAUCAAUAAAUGGUGAGUAAGGAAAUAUGAGGAUCAGAGUAGCGCAGCGGAUGAUGAUGGGCAUGCCAUUAUCAAUAAAGAAGUAUUAAUGAAGAGUUGUCUUAAUCAAGUGUUGGUAGUCUGGGUAGUGAUGUGUUUAUCUGGGAAUGAGUUGAGAAUGUGUAGUGAUCUUCUAAAGUCAAAAGCGAGUUUAUGCAUGCAGGAAAAACUUAAGAUAUAGAGAAGACAGACUUAGCCUACGGUUUCGAGCUACAACGUCAACCUUAAAGUUAGAAAGUAUUAACGGACGAUGAACAAAGUAAGUGGGUCAGGGGAUCAAGAAAUAUGAGCUAAGAUACGGUUUUGAGUUAUGGUGUCAAUCUAGAGGUAAGGAAUGUUAACAUAUGGUUUGAACAAAGAAAAGAUUCAAGUUUUUGGUUUGAUAAGGAUUGAGUAAGAGUUGGUUGAAGAAUAUGAAGAUUGGGGUCUCCAGUGAAGCUUUAAAGUGAUUUCAUUAGUGUAGUUGAAUACUAUAACUAGUGGGUUUAUCAAAAUGGUUGAGAAAGCACAGUCUGGACAAUCGUAGUUUGAGAUGUAUCAUAAGUUGGCUUGGUACUGAUUAAGCUAGUGAUCUCACAUCGAGGAAGAUAAAAAUCUAAGUAUGACUACAGGCUAGGGGGGUCAAGAAAUGCAUAUGCUUCAGGUCAUCGAGUUAACGAAGGGAAAUUAGAGUGCUCAAAUUAGUUUUGUUGUUGCAAGGAAGAAGAAUUUUGCUUUGGUAAUGAGAUAGUAUAAUUGGAAACCAUGCUACUUAAGGGUGGAGAUUAGUAAGGCAAUGUGAAGUCCUCAUAAUGAGUGUGGUAGUAGAUGAUCAAGAGCAUAACAUUCGGUAGUUAAAUCAGAAGUGUCAGUGAUCAAGUUAGUGGUAUGAUGGUUCUUGGAAGAAACAAGAGGAGGUAAAUGAGUAAUAGUCAAGGGUUAAUUUGAAGUCAAGAUUAGUGGAAGUCUUAGAAGAGAUUUACAAGAAAUAACGGAAGAUUGAUGAGUGGUUAGCAGUGUCACAGAUACAUUGGGGCUAGUUGUACGAAAGAAAGUUUCUUAACAGUUGAGAUUUAGCCGUUCAUAUUUGUCUUGAGAGUAAAGGGUAAACCAAUCUACACUAUGGAACACUAGAGCAUUUUAACACAAAGGCAAGGUCGUUGGGGAGUAGUAUCUUAGUCAAAUUAGGUGAUUGUACUAGAGGAUGUGACCAAAGAGGGUUGUUCCUUCUCUCUGGUAAGUUUAAUUUUUAGGGACGAAAAUUUUAUUUGUUGUGGAGAAUGUAAAGGCCUGAAAAUUAUUUUAAAGCCAUUGGGCUUUAAGUGAGGCUGCCAGGCCCAUAAGGCAAAGGUCAACAUAGCCUUAAGAGAGGGAAGCUUUCCCUUUUUUCUGAUUCUUUCACAGAAAGUCAUUCUCUCUCUAAAACCCUUGUGCCUAAUAUUUUCUCUGACUUCUCUCUAAAAUUCCAGAACUUUGAACCGUUUAAAUCUAGAUUGGGUGCUGCCAAAUCAUUCCUGGUGUAGAAAGCUUCUGUUCAAACCGAAUAUUUCUCCAUUCUGACUGGUGAGUCAUUUCCCCCCUUUUCUCUUCACUGUUCUUGAACCUAGAGCAUGCAACUCACUGGUUGCAUGUUACUGGUAGCUUUUCCUUUAGUUUCUUUGUCCCUUC
rnacentral:lncRNA from 1 species